rnacentral:rRNA from 1 species
UCCAGACUCCUACGGGAGGCAGCAGUGAGGAAUAUUGGUCAAUGGGCGGGAGCCUGAACCAGCCAAGUCGCGUGAGGGAAGAAGGUACUGAGUAUUGUAAACCUCUUUUGUCAGGGAGCAAAGGGCGCCACGUGUGGCGUUUUGCGAGUACCUGAAGAAAAAGCAUCGGCUAACUCCGUGCCAGCAGCCGCGGUAAUACGGAGGAUGCGAGCGUUAUCCGGAUUUAUUGGGUUUAAAGGGUGCGUAGGCGGGCUUUUAAGUCAGCGGUAAAAAUUCGGGGCUCAACCCCGUCCGGCCGUUGAAACUGGGGGCCUUGAGUGGGCGAGAAGAAGGCGGAAUGCGUGGUGUAGCGGUGAAAUGCAUAGAUAUCGCGCAGAACUCCGAUUGCGAAGGCAGCAUGCCGGCUCCACACUGACGCUGAGGCACGAAAGCGUAGGUAUCGAACGGGAUUAGAUACCCGCGUAGCU